AAGGAAUUGACGGGGACCCGCACAAGCGGUGGAGCAUGUGGUUUAAUUCGAAGCAACGCGAAGAACCUUACCAAAUCUUGACAUCCUCUGACCCCUCUAGAGAUAGAGUUUUCCCCUUCGGGGGACAGAGUGACAGGUGGUGCAUGGUUGUCGUCAGCUCGUGUCGUGAGAUGUUGGGUUAAGUCCCGCAACGAGCGCAACCCUUAAGCUUAGUUGCCAUCAUUAAGUUGGGCACUCUAAGUUGACUGCCGGUGACAAACCGGAGGAAGGUGGGGAUGACGUCAAAUCAUCAUGCCCCUUAUGAUUUGGGCUACACACGUGCUACAAUGGACAAUACAAAGGGCAGCGAAACCGCGAGGUCAAGCAAAUCCCAUAAAGUUGUUCUCAGUUCGGAUUGUAGUCUGCAACUCGACUAUAUGAAGCUGGAAUCGCUAGUAAUCGUAGAUCAGCAUGCUACGGUGAAUACGUUCCCGGGUCUUGUACACACCGCCCGUCACACCACGAGAGUUUGUAACACCCGAAGCCGGUGGAGUAACCAUUUGGAGCUAGCCGUCGAAGGUGGGACAAAUGAUUGGGGUGAAGUCGUAACAAGGUAGCCGUAUCGGAAGGUGCGGCUGGAUCACCUCCUUUCUA
rnacentral:rRNA from 1 species